rnacentral:misc_RNA from 1 species
GAUGAAGAACGCAGCGAAAUGCGAUAAGUAAUGUGAAUUGCAGAAUUCAGUGAAUCAUCGAAUCUUUGAACGCACUUUGCGCCCGCCAGUAUUCUGGCGGGCAUGCCUGUUCGAGCGUCAUUACAACCCUCAGGCCCCCGGGCCUGGCGUUGGGGAUCGGCGGAAGCCCCCUGCGGGCACAACGCCGUCCCCCAAAUACAGUGGCGGUCCCGCCGCAGCUUCCAUUGCGUAGUAGCUAACACCUCGCAACUGGAGAGCGGCGCGGCCACGCCGUAAAACACCCAACUUCUGAAUGUUGACCUCGAAUCAGGUAGGAAUACCCGCUGAACUUAAGCAUAUCAAUAAGCGGAGGA